rnacentral:rRNA from 1 species
UACGUAGGGUGCGAGCGUUAAUCGGAAUUACUGGGCGUAAAGCGUGCGCAGGCGGCUUUGUAAGACGGAUGUGAAAUCCCUGGGCUUAACCUAGGAACUGCGUUCGUGACUGCAAAGCUAGAGUGCGGGAGAGGGGGGUGGAAUUCCUGGUGUAGCAGUGAAAUGCAUAGAGAUCAGGAGGAACACCGAUGGCGAAGGCAGCCCCCUGGGUUGACACUGACGCUCAUGCACGAAAGCGUGGGGAGUAAACAGG